rnacentral:rRNA from 1 species
AGAGUUUGAUCAUGGCUCAGAUUGAACGCUGGCGGCAUGCCUAACACAUGCAAGUCGAACGGCAGCGCGGGCUUCGGCCUGGCGGCGAGUGGCGGACGGGUGAGGAAUACAUAGGAAUCUGCCCAGUCGUGGGGGAUAACCCGGGGAAACCCGGACUAAUACCGCAUACGACGGUGACGUGAAAGCCGGGGACCUUCGGGCCUGGCGCGAUUGGAUGAGCCUAUGUCGGAUUAGCUAGUUGGCGGGGUAAAGGCCCACCAAGGCGACGAUCCGUAGCUGGUCUGAGAGGAUGAUCAGCCACACUGGGACUGAGACACGGCCCAGACUCCUACGGGAGGCAGCAGUGGGGAAUAUUGGACAAUGGGCGCAAGCCUGAUCCAGCAAUGCCGCGUGGGUGAAGAAGGCCUUCGGGUUGUAAAGCCCUUUUGUACGGGAAGAAAUCAUCCGGGUUAAUACCCUGGGUGGAUGACGGUACCGUAAGAAUAAGCACCGGCUAACUUCGUGCCAGCAGCCGCGGUAAUACGAAGGGUGCAAGCGUUAAUCGGAAUUACUGGGCGUAAAGCGUGCGUAGGUGGUUGUUCAAGUCUGUCGUGAAAGCCCUGGGCUCAACCUGGGAGUGGCGAUGGAAACUGGGCGACUGGAGUGCGGUAGAGGAUGGCGGAAUUCCCGGUGUAGCGGUGAAAUGCGUAGAGAUCGGGAGGAACAUCCGUGGCGAAGGCGGCCAUCUGGACCAGCACUGACACUGAGGCACGAAAGCGUGGGGAGCAAACAGGAUUAGAUACCCUGGUAGUCCACGCCCUAAACGAUGCGAACUGGAUGUUGGUCUCAACUUGGAGAUCAGUGUCGAAGCUAACGCGUUAAGUUCGCCGCCUGGGGAGUACGUCGCAAGACUGAAACUCAAAGGAAUUGACGGGGGCCCGC